GACGAACGCUGGCGGCGUGCCUAAUACAUGCAAGUCGAGCGGACGAAUCGAAAGCUUGCUUUUGAUUCGUUAGCGGCGGACGGGUGAGUAACACGUGGGCAACCUGCCCUGUAGACGGGGAUAACACCGAGAAAUCGGUGCUAAUACCGGAUAACACGAAAUGUCGCAUGACGUUUCGUUGAAAGACGGCGCAAGCUGCCGCUACAGGAUGGGCCCGCGGCGCAUUAGCUAGUUGGUGAGGUAACGGCUCACCAAGGCGACGAUACGUAGCCGACCUGAGGGGGUGAUCGGCCACACUGGGACUGAGACACGGCCCAGACUCCUACGGGAGGCAGCAGUAGGGAAUCUUCCGCAAUGGACGAAAGUCUGACGGAGCAACGCCGCGUGAGCGAAGAAGGCCUUCGGGUCGUAAAGCUCUGUUGUUAGGGAAGAACAAGUAACGCAGUAACUGGCGUUACCGUGACGGUACCUAACGAGAAAGCCACGGCUAACUACGUG
rnacentral:rRNA from 1 species